ACAGAAGUGGUGGGAAGGAGUCUUGGCGAGAGAGAGGCGAGACGAAGCGACGCAAGAGGACGGGCACGCUAGUGGAUAUCACUCGGAUUCAUCGUAAUCAUCUAGAUUUUUCUCCAACGAGAGAAUCGUGACACACAUAAGGAGAAUCAAGUCAAAGAGUGUUUUGAAGUCUCAGUGUUAUUCACGUCAGUGUUGCGCGAGGAAGGAGAGAGGAUUGUGCGGUGUCACGCAAAAUUGCGAAAC